rnacentral:rRNA from 1 species
CCAGGCGUCGAGCGGCGGACGGGUGAGUAAUACUUAGGAAUCUGCCCAGUAGUGGGGGAUAGCUCGGGGAAACUCGAAUUAAUACCGCAUACACCCUACGGGGAAAAGGGGGCGCUUGCGCUCUCGCUAUUGGAUGAGCCUAAGUCGGAUUAGCUAGUUGGUGGGGUAAAGGCCUACCAAGGCGACGAUCUGUAGCUGGUCUGAGAGGAUGAUCAGCCACACCGGGACUGAGACACGGCCCGGACUCCUACGGGAGGCAGCAGUGGGGAAUAUUGGACAAUGGGGGCAACCCUGAUCCAGCCAUGCCGCGUGUGUGAAGAAGGCCUUUUGGUUGUAAAGCACUUUAAGCAGUGAAGAAGACCUAACGGUUAAUACCCGUUAGCGAUGACAUUAGCUGCAGAAUAAGCACCGGCUAACUCUGUGCCAGCAGCCGCGGUAAUACAGAGGGUGCAAGCGUUAAUCGGAAUUACUGGGCGUAAAGCGAGCGUAGGUGGCUUGAUAAGUCAGAUGUGAAAUCCCCGGGCUUAACCUGGGAACUGCAUCUGAUACUGUUGGGCUAGAGUAGGUGAGAGGGAGGUAGAAUUUCAGGUGUAGCGGUGAAAUGCGUAGAGAUCUGAAGGAAUACCGAUGGCGAAGGCAGCCUCCUGGCAUCAUACUGACACUGAGGUUCGAAAGCGUGGGUAGCAAACAGGAUUAGAUACCCUGGUAGUCCACGCCGUAAAACGAUGUCUACUAGUCGUUGGGGAACUUGAUUCCUUAGUGACGCAGCUAACGCAAUAAGUAGACCGCCUGGGGAGUACGGCCGCAAGGUUAAAACUCAAAUGAAUUGACGGGGGCCCGCACAAGCGGUGGAGCAUGUGGUUUAAUUCGAUGCAACGCGAAGAACCUUACCUGGUCUUGACAUAUCUAGAAUCCUGCAGAGAUGCGGGAGUGCCUUCGGGAAUUAGAAUACAGGUACUGCAUGGCUGUCGUCAGCUCGUGUCGUGAGAUGUUGGGUUAAGUCCCGCAACGAGCGCAACCCUUUUCCUUAGUUACCAGCGGUUUGGCCGGGGACUCUAAGGAUACUGCCAGUGACAAACUGGAGGAAGGCGGGGACGACGUCAAGUCAUCAUGGCCCUUACGACCAGGGCUACACACGUGCUACAAUGGUAGGUACAGAGGGCAGCUACACAGCGAUGUGAUGCGAAUCUCAAAAAGCCUAUCGUAGUCCAGAUUGGAGUCUGCAACUCGACUCCAUGAAGUAGGAAUCGCUAGUAAUCGC